rnacentral:rRNA from 1 species
GAUAGGUUAAGUUAAUAAGGGCGCAUGGUGGAUGCCUUGGCACUAGAAGGCGAUGAAGGACGUGACUAACUACGAUAUGCCUCGGUUAGCUGUAAGUAAGCUUACCCGGGGGUUUCCGAAUGGGGCAACCCGAUCUUAAUGAUCAUCAUCUUUUUGAAUUCAUAGAUUAGAUGAAGCAAACGCUGUGAACUGAAACAUCUAAGUAGCAGUAGGAAAGUAAAGAAAUUUCGAUUCCGUCAGUAGCGGCGAGCGAACGCGGAAGAGCCCAAACCUGGAUGCUUGCAUCCAGGGGUUGUAGGACUGAUGUUGAGUUACAAAGGUAUAAGAUAGCAGAAACAGUUGGGAAGCUGUUCCAAAGAGGGUGACAGGCCCGUAUGCGAAAUCUUGUACUCUCUAAUCAGGAUCCUGAGUACGGCCCAGCACGUGAAAUUGGGUCGGAAUCUGGGAGGACCAUCUCCCAAGGCUAAAUACUAACUAGUGACCGAUAGCGAACAAGUACCGUGAGGGAAAGGUGAAAAGAACCCCGGAAGGGGAGUGAAAUAGUUCUUGAAACCGUGUGCUUACAAGAAGUUCGAGGCCGUUAAUGGCUGAGAGCGUGCUUUUUGUAGAAUGAACCGGAGAGUUACGAUUGCGUGCAAGGUUAAGGUGCAAAGACUGGAGCCGUAGCGAAAGCGAGUCUUAAUAGGGCGAAUCAGUACGUAGUUGUAGACCCGAAACCGAGUGACCUAUCCAUGGU